GACGAACGCUGGCGGCGUGCCUAACACAUGCAAGUCGAACGGAAAGGCCCUGCCUUUGUGCGGUGCUCGAGUGGCGAACGGGUGAGUAACACGUGAGUAACCUGCCAUUGACUUUGGGAUAACUUCAGGAAACUGGGGCUAAUACCGGAUAGGAGCUCCUGCUGCAUGGUGGGGGUUGGAAAGUUUCGGUGGUUGGGGAUGGAAUCGCGGCCUAUCAGCUUGUUGCUGGGGUAGUGGCUUACCAUGGCUUGGACGGGUAGCAGGCCUGGUCGGAUAACCGGCCACGUCGGAAUGGGACUGAGACCCGGACUCCAACGGGAGGCAGCGGUGGAGAAUGUAACACAAUAGGAGGGGCGCUAGUGCAACAACGCCGCGUCGGGGAUGACGGCCAUCGGGUAGGAUUCCGCAUUCGCCUUAGACGAGACGAUAGUGACAGUAAUGGGUAAAGAAGCACCGGCUAACUACGUG
rnacentral:rRNA from 1 species